GUACACUCCUGCGGGAGGCAGCAGUGGGGAAUUUUGGACAAUGGGCGAAAGCCUGAUCCAGCAAUGCCGCGUGUGUGAAGAAGGCCUUCGGGUUGUAAAGCACUUUUGUCCGGAAAGAAAUCCUUGGCUCUAAUACAGUCGGGGGAUGACGGUACCGGAAGAAUAAGCACCGGCUAACUACGUGCCAGCAGCCGCGGUAAUACGUAGGGUGCGAGCGUUAAUCGGAAUUACUGGGCGUAAAGCGUGCGCAGGCGGUUUGCUAAGACCGAUGUGAAAUCCCCGGGCUCAACCUGGGAACUGCAUUGGUGACUGGCAGGCUAGAGUAUGGCAGAGGGGGGUAGAAUUCCACGUGUAGCAGUGAAAUGCGUAGAGAUGUGGAGGAAUACCGAUGGCGAAGGCAGCCCCCUGGGCCAAUACUGACGCUCAUGCACGAAAGCGUGGGGAGCAAACAGGAUUAGAUACCCUUGUAGUCCCAUGAU
rnacentral:rRNA from 1 species